AAACAAACCUUGUUGUCAAGGUCUAGGCAUAACUUGGUUUCAUAACAUGACCUGGAUUAUAUUAGUUAAGGUUCAGGUGAUAUGGAAUAAGGGAUUUAUUAUGGGAGAUGGGGUUUCUGCGUUCGUAGGAGCUCAGGAACAAGUUUAGGAAAGAGUGUUGCCACUGGUCUUGGGGCUGGAGUCCCUGCAGAUCCUCUGGGCUUGAGGAGGGGAGAGGAAGGACAGAGUAGAACUGCUUGUCUCACUGCCUCCACCUCCAGCAUGUGGCUACCUGCAGAAGAAGCUGACAUCCUGCGCUUCCAUACACACUCCUGCACAGAACUUGAAGGUGAACGAGGAGACUCAGCUGGGAGGAGGUUCUCCUUUGCCCAUUAUUCUUCCUGGCCACAUCUGAAGUGGAUAUUGUCUGUUUAUAGGCACAGCUGUUUAAAGAAACCAGAUGGUCUGGAUGCCACAAGUAGCCCCCUUGAGACCCGCUGCUGAAUAACUGAGGAAGUUCAGACCCACAUGAAACUGGUGCAGACCAGAGCAGGCAGUGCGUGUAGAAACAUGUUCCUGUACUAUGCCUGUGUUUGCAACUCUAUCCAGUACCUGCCUACAUACUUCCCCAGGCUUGCGCCCAACUCUCUAAAACUCCCAUGCCUCCAGGAAGAUGGUGCCUUUGGAACAUGAGAUCCCCUUCUCCAUUCUUUGGCCA
rnacentral:lncRNA from 1 species